AUUGAACGCUGGCGGAAUGCUUUACACAUGCAAGUCGAACGGGGGUAGCAAUACCCUAGUGGCGAACGGGUGAGUAAUGCAUCGGAACGUACCCAGUAAUGGGGGAUAACACACCGAAAGGUGUGCUAAUACCGCAUACGCCCUGAGGGGGAAAGCGGGGGAUCGCAAGACCUCGCGUUAUUGGAGCGGCCGAUGUUGGAUUAGCUAGCUGGUAGGGUAAAGGCCUACCAAGGCGACGAUCCAUAGCUGGUCUGAGAGGACGACCAGCCACACUGGGACUGAGACACGGCCCAGACUCCUACGGGAGGCAGCAGUGGGGAAUUUUGGACAAUGGGCGAAAGCCUGAUCCAGCCAUUCCGCGUGAGUGAAGAAGGCCUUCGGGUUGUAAAGCUCUUUCGGCAGGAACGAAACGGCUCUUCCUAAUACGGGGGGUUAAUGACGGUACCUGAAGAAGAAGCACCGGCUAACUACGUGCCAGCCGCCGCAGUAACAC
rnacentral:rRNA from 1 species